rnacentral:rRNA from 1 species
AGGAUGAACGCUGGCGGUCUGCUUAACACAUGCAAGUCGAACGGAGUAGCAAUACUUAGUGGCGGACGGGUGAGUAACGCGUGAGAAUCUACCUUCAGGACGGAGACAACAGUUGGAAACGACUGCUAACCCCCGAUGUACUGAAAAGGCAAAUAUUUAUAGCCUGAAGAAGAGCUCGCGUCCGAUUAGCUAGUUGGAGAGGUAAAAGCUCACCAAGGCGACGAUCGGUAGCUGGUCUGAGAGGACGAUCAGCCACACUGGGACUGAGACACGGCCCAGACUCCUACGGGAGGCAGCAGUGGGGAAUUUCCGCAAUGGGCGAAAGCCUGACGGAGCAAGACCGCGUGGGGGAAGAAGGCUCUUGGGUUGUAAACCCCUUUUCUCUGGGAAGAACACAAUGACGGUACCAGAGGAAUCAGCAUCGGCUAACUCCGCGCCAGCGGCCGC